GUGUGCGCCGAGGGUGGUCCCGCCGCGCAAAGAAGAGCUUCUUCCGCGAACCGUCUCCCGUCCACGAACGCCCAAUGCAGCCAGCGAACACAGAGUCGAAUUCACUGUGCAAACAGGUCCACCUCCAAGAGAUGCUGGUGAGACUGGGUUUUUCGCGGACCAGUAAGUGGCCCCCGCCUCUGACUGCCUGCGCAGGAUGGCCUGGGGUACCCUGCACUCUAGGAGCUCCCGGGCUCCUCAGUCGGCUUGGCCCACCCCUCCCACUCCGCCGUCUCACAGCCCCAUGGGCACGCCCAGUGUGGCCGGCGCGCCGGUUAAGACGGAAAGCAGCGCAAGGGAGUCUAUAGGUUGCUUCGGCCUUUAAGGAAUACGCACGGAAGACACCUGGUUUCCUCAUUAAUGUGAAGACUGCUUUAUUGUACAUGCUUUUCAGACUGGACCAUGCACAACCCCAGUUCUGUGCAGGGAGGAUGCAAAACAGCAGAAUAUCUGUGGUACAUUUUUAAGGAGCCUUAAUUUUACUACUUGAUUUGGAAGAAACAAAGUUAAGUAAUUUCCUAGCACAGAGCUCCAGGCAGCCACCACAAAUGGAUGAUGUUGGCGUACAAGAUUAAAACUGCCCUGUGAUCACAUGCAGAGUGGAAACUGGCACCAGCAGCUUCAGUGGGAAAAAUUAAUCAUUCGAGAAGAAUAGAUGAUCCACCCUAAGCAAGGACUCAGGAACCCAGAAGUCCUGGUAAGGGCUUAGAGCCAGAUUGCUUCAUUUCCUCCCUCCUUGGCUGUACUUCUGUGACUGGUAUGGAAAUCCAGAAAGCACACAGAAACAUUAAAAAUGGCAACUAAGUGGGCUGGGUCAAUACAUGGAAGUAUAUAAAUGAAGGACUAUUUUUAAAAAGCACAAAACAGUUUGGCACAGUCUGAUUAAAACUGUCUCAUGUAUGUUCAUAAACAAGUUUAGAAAGGAAUUUGGAAAUGGUUGAAAUUUUUUUAUAAAGCUCAUUCUUUGAGGUUGUUCAAAUUCUAAAAUGUGUUUAGAAACAAAUUGAUACAUCAACAGUUUAAAUCUUAGCUAUCCAGAAACUGCAAAUAUCUAGAAUUUCCCAAAGGUCUGUGCAACUCAGAUAGUAUUAUAGUUUGAAAACUAUUAAUGUGUAAUGCAGUUGAUGAAAUAACACACAUUCACAGAGAAAGGAGCAAUUGCUAUAAUAUUAUAUGUAUAUAAUAAAUAUAACUAUAUAUAUGUAUAAUAGGGAACACCUGUAAUGAGUGAGCCAUUGCUAUAAGUACUUUAUAUUCAUUAACUCACAAGAAUUCUCUUUGAGGUAGGCUUUAGUAUCUCUCAAAAAUACAGUGUUGAAUGAAAAACGCAAGUUACGGAAGUAUAUAUAGCAAGUACAUCUAUGGAAAGUCUCAAAUCUUACAAAGUUAAAUAAUGUAUUCCUUAGAGGUACAUACAUACGUAGUAAAACUAUAAUGAAAGUCAAAAGGGUAAUAAAUGUUUUCACCUUCAGAUUAAUGAUUUUCCUGUCUGAAGAGGUAAAGGGUUAUGUUGGGAAGAGCCAUGUAGACAGCUUCAAAGGUAGUGGUAAAGUUUUAUUAAGCAAGUGAAAGGUACAGGGUUUUUAUUUUAUUUUAUUUUUUCUUCAUUUUAUGUGUGUGUGUGUAUAAAUACACAUACAUCUGUGCAUUUAUAUACAUAAUAUAAAAUUGUGUAUGUAUAAAAGAAAAAUUUUAAACAGCUUUAUUGGGAUACAGUUUACAUAUGGUACACUUUGUGUGUUUAAAGUGUAUAAUUUAGUGGUUUUCAUAUACUCACAUGUAUGUACAACCAUCACCACAGUCAAUUUUAUUUAUUUUUUUCAAAUAUUUUAUUUAUUUAUUUUGGCUUUUUGUUGAUGUUGUUUCAGGGAGAGGGGUAAUUAGGUUUACUUACUUUAUUUACUGGAGGGACUGGGGAUUGAACCUAGGACCUCUUGCAUGCUAAGCAUGGGCUCUACCACAUGGGAGCUGUACCCUCCCCCCACCAGUCAAAUUUAGAAGAUUUUUUUCAGCUCAGAAAGAAACCACCCUUCUAUUCCCCCCCGCCCCUCUCCUUCAGGCCUAAGCAACCACUAAGCUACAUUUCUUUGUAGAUUUUCCUGUACUGGACAUUUCACAUAAAUGGAAUCAUGUAACAUGUUGACUUUUAUGAGUGGCUUCUUUCACUUUCCGUAAUGUCUUCGAGGUCAUCCAAGUUUUAGUGUGUGCGAAUACUUCAUUCCUUUUUAUGGCUGUCAUAAUAAUAUUUAAAUCUUUUUUUUAUCUUGAAUGAUGGUGUUUGAGAAAAAAUAAUUUAGUUAGAAGGAAAUGAGAAAGAAUGAUUACUCUGGAGAUCCUAAAGGACUUUUAACUAUUCAUGAGAUCUCUGGAGGUGGGUGGCCCUGAUUCUUGUUCCAGAGUGUGACUUACAGUGCUGGGAAUACUAAGCUAUAGGGUGAAUUGUGGGUUCCCAGGUGAAUGUGAGUGAGGCAGAGGGCGGAAGAAGAGUUCUUUUACUGAGGGAAAGGGACAAAAAUCAGUGAAAGAGGGAAGAGGAGAGCUGCUUGAAGCAGAAUUAACACAGCUACGAGGAGUGAAAGGCAGAAUAAAAGGUGCGCACACAGGUUGGGUACACGGUCUGAGGGGAGGAAAGAAGGUGACGAGAUAGGGCCGUCAGAUCGUAAAUCUCCAACAGCUGGAGUCACUGGCCCUCGAGGCCUGGUUGUGACCUCAGCAGGAAGGGAGCUAGGACUAGCGGUGGGGAGAGGGCUGAUGCUCAGGAAGGAAGUCAGUGUACAGGCAGCAUCAGUGUGUAUAUGGUGUGGAACUUUAGGGAGUGCCUGUAUUUGGCCUUCAGGCCUGUUGGAAAGUACUUAUUUAUUCAGUCAACCACCUCUUAAGUGCCUGCUGUGUGACACACUGUGCUAUGGAUUGUAGAUACAGUAUCACCCUUUCCCUGCCUUCAAGGGACUUAGCAUCUCAUAGGAACAGUACUUAUUUUUUCUUUUCUAUUUCCCCACAGUUCCUGCAAGUGUAUUCUGCACAGAUGGGCAAAUUAUGAUUACUGUUGAUUAAUAAUUAAAGAAAUAAAGUUUUUUACAUUCAGAUUUUUUCAAAAAUGAGUAUCUAAGACGUAGAAUUCUGUAUCUUUGGCUUCUUUAAUGUUAGCAAAACAGAAUAAAUAGAAAAUGAAAAAAACUAAUUUUCCAAUUUAAAAUUUUCACAUUGAUGUCAGUAGGAGUCCUUUGUUUGUUUUUGUUUCCUAAAGUGUAUAUACUUAAGAGCUUUAGAUUCUUUUAAAAAUGUAUUAAUUUUUUGGUGGGGGAGGUAAUUAGGUUUAUUUAUUUAUUUUUGGAGGAGGCACUGGGGGUUGAACCCAGGACCUCAUGCGUGCUGAGCAUGCGCUCUGCCACUUGAGCCGUACCCUCCCCCUAGGAGUCUAGAUCUUUUAAAAGGGGCAAGAGAGAAAGAAAUACACAAGUGACUCAUGCCAUAUUUCCUUGCAUGUCAGAUUACUGUGAUGAUGAUUAUAUACGUGGAUUUUAGAGUCUAGAAUUUUUUCAGUGACAUAUUUGUUUACAGUUAAAAUGUGGAUUUCAUCUCCUUUAUUCCUCUUGAACUCAGUCAUAUUCUUGAGCAGCCACCCAAAGAAUCUUACAUUGAAGCUGGGCUUCUCUCCCUGGGAAUGUUUAUUGGAAAGGAAAAAGAAGUUGCAUUGAGUCAGUUAACCUUGGCCAUCAUGCUUGCUUUCACUAAGGAGUGUGAAGUUUUACUCCCAUCACAAGUUUGUAGACUUCUUUGCCCCAAAUUCAACACACAUAGACCCAGCUGAACAUCAGUGACAGCACAGGGGACGGUUACAAAUACUUGGUGUGGACUAAGUCUUGGGAACUUAUCAGAGUUGUUGCAAGUUAUAUCCCUUUUUGAUAAAUGCAUGUGUCUGUGAAAAUAAGGAGCAAUUUGAUUCCAGACUCAAUUCAUCAUGUUCUUUUUCCCAGCUGUGGUUUGCAAUUGGUAUUUGAGAUACUAGAAACUAAAAAUGCUGAUAAGCCACAGGGGGAAAAAAAUCCUGUUUUCUGAGUGCUUCAGACUUAAUCCUGGCCUUGUUCCUUAAUCACAUUGGAAAAAGAGAAGCUAUUUUAAAAAAAUGGAAAACUAUAAAGUAACACUGAUGAGAAACGUAGAUUUGGAAAAAAAAAAAACCCAGAAAUGUAGAUUUAGUAUAUUUCAUAGGUGUGAUGGACCAGAAAGAUCAGCUUAAGAAAUUGAAGCUAAAAUCACACGUUGUCACAUAGAAACUCUUGGGAACAGAGCUUAGCCAGAACCUGAGUGUCCUGAAUCUCAAGCUGUUAACCCUUCAUGACAUGACAUUGCCAAUGAAGAGGCUGACUCAUGUUUAUAUAAUUU